AUGAAUAGUUUUUGGGGCAAUCGGAGCCGCUCCACAUGAAACCUGCACGAGGGACUGCAAUCGGCAGCCGGUGGCACCCUUGGCCCUUAUCAGGGCCGUCAUUAUCGGUGGGACAGCAGGAAAAUGAGUGACCUUAAACGCAUCGAUAGCUCGAACUGUCUCCUCCACAUCGAACUUUCUCAUCACCACAAUGGUAGAUCCCAACGACAGGAGCCCCAUGGAGAAGAGGGAAAGACCAUACACAUGGAACAUGGGGAUGGCUGUGAGGUAAACAUUCCUCCAGCUCUCACUACCAUACAGUGAAGCUUCGCUCCGAACAAAAAGCUCCACCGUAG
rnacentral:lncRNA from 1 species